rnacentral:tRNA from 1 species
GGUUGUGGUUCAGUGGUUGAGUGCUUGCCUAGCAUGCACGAGGCACUGGGUUCGAUUCUCAGCACCA